AGCGAACGUUAGCGGCGGGCUUAACACAUGCAAGUCGAGCGAGAAAGUGGCUUCGGCCAUCAGUAAAGCGGCGGACGGGUGAGUAACACGUAGGUAAUCUUCCCUUGAGCGGGGGACAACGAGCCCGAAAGGCUCGCUAAUACCGCAUAAGUUCCCAGGGUCCUCGGGCCUUGGGAGGAAAGCUAGGUAGCAAUAUCCGGCACUCGAGGAGGAGCCUGCGUCGCAUCAGCUAGUUGGUGGGGUAAUGGCCUACCAAGGCGAAGACGCGUAGCUGGUCUGAGAGGAUGAUCAGCCACACUGAAACUGAGACACGGUUCAGACUCCUACGGGAGGCAGCAGUGGGGAAUAUUGGACAAUGGGCGCAAGCCUGAUCCAGCCACGCCGCGUGAGUGAUGAAGGCC
rnacentral:rRNA from 1 species